rnacentral:rRNA from 1 species
UACGUAGGGGGCAAGCGUUGUCCGGAAUCAUUGGGCGUAAAGAGCGUGUAGGCGGUUCGGUAAGUCCGCUGUGAAAGUCGAGGGCUCAACCCUUGAAUGCCGGUGGAUACUGUCGGGCUAGAGUGCGGAAGAGGCGAGUGGAAUUCCUGGUGUAGCGGUGAAAUGCGCAGAUAUCAGGAGGAACACCGGUGGCGAAGGCGGGUCUCUGGGCCGAUACUGACGCUGAGGAGCGAAAGCGUGGGGAGCGAACAGG